GAACAGGGACUGCAGAAGAAAUCGGUGGAACAGCCACAGUUUUCUGAACAUUAAGAGGAGAAAGGCCACAUUCAUCAGGGAUGAGGAUUCCAUUAUCUGAGGAUCUGCAUACAUGCACAUGGAUUUUUCUUUGCCCCACAGACGGACACAGAAGUAAAAAAAACUGUACCAGCAAAGAUUAUGGCAAAGCAACUAAGAAGCAGUAUGCUGCAUCAGCUCUGUAGCGAUUCUUUUACCUAGUAAGGCAAAUCUCCAGCUGGCCAAAAGAGCAGAAAGGUUAAGUAACAUACACUACUACAAGCUAAGAAGAGGUGGAGCUGGGAUUUGAACCCAGAGCUAUUUUACUCCAAGGUCAGUGCUCCUUGAGUACCCUGUUA